rnacentral:rRNA from 1 species
GAUGAACGCUAGCGGCAGGCUUAAUACAUGCAAGUCGAGGGGCAACAGGGGUAGCAAUACCUGCUGGCGACCGGCAAACGGGUGCGGAACACGUACGCAACCUUCCUUUAACUGGAGGAUAGCCCCUCGAAGAGGGAGUUAAUACUCCGUAACAUAUUGAUAAGGCAUCUUAUUACUAUUAUAGCUCCGGCGGUUAAAGAUGGGCGGUGCGCCUGA